GACGAACGCUGGCGGCGUGCUUAACACAUGCAAGUCGAACGGAGUGGCGAACGGAUGAGUAACACGUGGGCGACCUGCCCUGCACUUCGGGAUAAGCAUGGGAAAAUGGGUCAAAUACCGGAUAGUGUGGGAUGGGCCCGGGGCCUAUGAGCUUGUUGGUGGGGUAAUGGCCUACGAAGGCGGCGACGGGUAGCCGGCCUGGGAGGGUGGACGGCCACCUGAGGACUGAGACAGGGCGCAGACUCGUACGGGAGGCAGCAGAGGGGAAUAUUGCACAAUGGGGGGAAGCCUGAUGCGGUGACGCCGGGUGGGGGAUGACGGCCUUCGGGUUGUAAACUCCUUUCACCAUAGACGCGGUAGAUGGAGAAGAAGCACCGGCUAACUACGUGCCAGCAGCCGCGGUAAUAC
rnacentral:rRNA from 1 species